rnacentral:lncRNA from 1 species
GUCGAGAGACUGACUAAGUCAGCACAUUUCUUACCCAUCAAGGAGACGUAUAGCUCCGACAUGUUAGCCUAAUUAUACGUUGAUAAGAUUGUAGCCUUGCAUGGUAUAUGUCACACCCCGAAAUAUCAGAGCUUGGCGUGACUGGACCGGUAUCUUCAUUGCACAGCGGAAGCAAAUAAGCUAAGACUUCUAAACAAUGCACGCCCACUAAGUACUCGAAAUCCCGUGGGUUCUCCUAUUCCAACCGUUCCAUAGUCUUAAAAAUGCAACCUGAGAAAGAACAUGCGAAAAAGUCAACAUAAAGUUGAGCGAGUUCAUAGUUUGUUUUGAAAAGAUUUAAAAUAAAUCUUUUUGAUAACCGGUUUUAAAGUUGUUGAGAAAAUAUAGUAAAAUUAUUUUCUUGGCAUGAUAUACGAAAAACUGUGAGUCUAGCCCACGAGAGUCUUUGUGCAUUGCACGAGAGAGAAAGGGCCGAGCCCAAACGAACCUUUGUAAGCAGGAUCAACGCGUCCUCUUACUUAGGUAUAAUUUGAAAAGCAUUACCAAAGUUUGUAAAUCCAUGUAUUUGUGAGUUUCCAUCAAAUGAAUCUUAAAAACAUUUGAAAAUUUGAGUAUCAAAAGCUGGUAUGUAAGCGUCUAUGAACAGAUCAUUAAUGUUUUGCAAGGACAUUAAUAUGUGUGGCGACAUAGGAAGCACUCAACCCUAGCGGAUUUCCCCCGGUCCACCCGGUUAGAACAACAAAAGCACUACAUGGGCCACACAAGGACCCAAGAGUGGGGCUCGCUACACCCGAUAGAUCUACCACUUUUGCCCUCGGUCUUAUACAAGAUUAAUGGCACUUAAGAGAGAUUACUAUUCGCUCACCUGAUCUAACAGUUCAUUCCCUAGCUUAACCAUACCCUAGUUAACGUAUAAUGUGUGAGUUAUUCAUGUCCUUGGGCCUCUGCCCAUGUCCUUGGGCCUUUGCCCACGUCAUUUGUGUUAUUAAAACUCAUGCAUGUUUCGAAAAACACUUAUGUUUUCAUAAGACCGGUAUGAUUUAGUAUAUAAUCUUUUCGUAAACCAUUUGAGUUCGUUGAAAUUCUGUCGCAAAAUGGUUUAUAAAUAUGUGAUAUUGAGUUAUCGAAACCUUGUGUGAUUUUGCAAAACUUGCAUGUCUUUCCACCCCCGAAAACAUUUUAUAAAAAAAAUGUAAAACAGUGAAAAGUGGGGGUUAUGAACUCACCUGGAUAUUCCUGUGCAAAGCUAGCUUAGUGUGAUUCCGUAGUGCCGUUCCAAGAACGUGAAGUAGCUAGCGUGCAACUAUGACAUUCCUACGAAGGAAUACUUAUAAGUUUCUAUUUUAAACGUAGCUAAACUACGUGUCCGAACUCUACCGAAUCGUUAACUAAACGACUCUAAGGUAGUGUUAUGAUCUUGACCUAGGAUAACCAAUCUAUGGUUAUUUGAUCCCAUUUAAUCGGGAUAAAUACUAAGUCUCGAAAACGACUUAGUUUUUGAAUGAUUUAGGAUAUAUGUAUAUUUAUAUAUGUACCAACAUAACUAUGCUUACGAAGUCGUGUUAGUUGUCGCGAAUAGAAGGCGUAGAUGAAAUAAUAAUACGACUCUUCGUAGCUUUCGUAGAACGUAAUGAAGUAAAUAUAAACAUUAUACUUAUCUUAUAAAAAUACAUGAUGUAACAACGUUUGAAAUAAAUAUAAAUCGUUAUAUUUAUUUUAUAAAGUACUCGGAAAUAUCGACGUUCGGAAUAAAUGUAAACAUCGUAUUUCUUUUAUAAAAGUGUUCGGAAGUCUCGACGUUUGAAAUAAAUAUAGACGUUUAUUUAUUUUAGAAAGUAUUUGAGUAUCGUUGGUUAGUAAUUCGUGUGUUGUCAAAAAGUUAUAAUCUCGUUUUAUAAGUUAUAAAAUAUUGCCAAAAGUAAAUAUAAUUUAUACUUAUUUCACAAAAAUACUUUGUUUCCGAUAAAUGUCGUUUAUAAGAUACAAAUGUUUUGUAUUUCGAAUUUUUACGAAAAACGAACAGAGUUUCCUCUGUUUUUUGAAUAACCUCGACAUCCAAAGUGUCGAUAUUUUGAUCAAAGCGCAAUAAUUUUCAACAAUUUUCCAAUAACAUAAACACUAUAUAGAUAUAAUUUUCAGUAAAAACGCCAAGAAUUUAACAAGUCGCUAAUGUAUAAGCGUGAACUAAUCGGGUCGAGCUCGGUUUCGCGUAGUCUAGAAAAAUCUAAAGUCUAAACUAAUGUAUAAUAACUUGUUUCGCUUAAAACUUUACCGGGUCCUUCGUGUUAACCACGUUUGACCUGUUGACCGGUGUUGACCGAAGCUGACCGGUGUUGACUUUAGUUGACCAAGUUGACCAAUUAACCUGAACCGACUCUGAAACGAGUUGACUAGAGUCGACCAGAACGAGCCCGUAAUCUAGCAGUUUGACCCGCACCAAAACCGACUUUUUUUGAACCGUUUGACCAGUCAACACAACGUGUUGACUGGGUUUGACCGAUCCCGUAUCGGGAACCCGAAAACUCGAACAAAAUCUGAACCAAAGCUGAAGCAAAACACCCGAAAUUGAACCGCAUAUGAACUGAACCAUACUUGAACCAUAACGUGAAUCUGACAUAACCCGAAACAAAACUGGAACAAGAACAGAUCUUGAACGAGACAACCACCUCCCACCGUCUGUUACCGCCGCCGUCGACCGGCGGCGGUUCUGCUUCCGCCGCUCACCUCCGCCGUCAUCGUCUGCCACGGUCGUCUGAAGUUGAGCCGUUGCAGGUGCACCUCCAGCUCCAUCAUCUUUGGCCGGCCAGCUCCUCCUUGGUCGGUUGUGUUCUCCGUCGCAACUGAGAGAGGGUGAGAGUGUGAGGGUGUCUUGCCGUCCAAGUUCACCAUCUCCGGCAAGGAGAUCGAGAGGGAGAGUGGAGGUGGUGAGUGGUCGGAGAAACAAUGUCGGAGCACCGGUAGUCUCCGGCUCCGCCGGUAAUUCCAGUCGCCGGAAGGAAACGAGGGAGAGAAGGGGUGUUUAACUAUGUAUGUGUGUGUCUUCAAUGGGAAUCGAGGACAUAUGAGUUUUGUGGAUAAGAGGAUUUGAGGGGGAUCAGGUAAUGAACGGCUGACCAAAUAAGGGAUUUAGGGUUUUCUAACAUAUUUAUACUUAGGGUUAAAACUCCUUUCAAGUGGGCUUGGGCGCAAGGCCCGUUAUCGCGUGUCUAAUUGUUCGUGUAGCCCAAUAGCGACUCUGAAGCCCGUUUUUGAACCCGUUUGUUGUAAACGUCGUAGAAUAUUAUUUUAGGGUCGAAAGCACAUGAAAUUAUGUUGUAAAUCAUUGAUAAACGCUUUAUCAGUCGCGUUAAAUCGCGCAUAACAUUCCGGUCGUCGUUCCUAACCCAUUUUUCGAUCCGUUUUCAGCUACG